CCUCCUGCCGCCGCCGCUGCUGGUCGGCCAGGAACUCCUUGAGACGCGUGGUUGUAAAGGUGAGCGUCUGCCUGCGGAGCCGCAUCAGGUGCAGAAUGCGGCGCGCGUGGAGGUAGUCCAGACCCUGGAGGAUCUGCACGAUGUACGUCACCACGUCAUCCUCAGAGUAACGGAACCUGGAGGGAACCAGAGAACGUUUCGUCCCAUCACUCCCAACAGUGGUGUCAAACUCACUCUUAUAUUUCAGAUCUUAAAUAUCUCCCAGGUUUAUGACCAAAUGUUUUGAUAAAACUGUUAGAGUUAUAGCUUUCUCCACAUAUGAUCAGUAUGUCUUAAAUUUAAUUAUUUAACACUGUAAUUUGACACAAUGCAAGAAACUGAUUUGAUUUUAUGAUCCUCUGAAGCAGGGGCGUCCAAAGUGUGGCCUGAGGGCCAUUUGUGGCCCUUGGACUGAGUUUGUGCGGCCCCCAAAGCCAGUUUGAGAAUAAUAGAAAUUUGGCUUGUCCAAAUAGAUUUUUAUUUUUAAAUUGGGAUGAAAUUAUUACCAACAUCAUUUUCUCAUAAUGGAAAAAGUUAGGUACAACAAAAUAACCAAUCUUUUUAAUAAGCAGAACCACAUUUAUCCAGAGAUUUUUACUGACUUUAUGCACCAAAAUUAACUUUUAUUUAAUUUACUGAAUUUGGCUAAAUAUAGCAAGCAGUUUAAAAGAAAGUGGUGCUAAAUUCUGUUCUUAUAAUGAGAACCCAUUUGUUGUAUAACGCUCAAAAAAAUUUGAAAACAAGUUGCCUUCUUUAAAUAUAGCAAACCUGAAAAAUCCUACCUAUGUUUAUGAUCUACAAUGAACAACUUUCCUUUUCUACAGAAAACAAAAGCAUUUUACUACUUUAUUUGUCUUGAUUUUAGUUUUUGUUCUUUUUUUUUGUGGCCCACGUGAUAAAAAGUUUUGACACCCUGCUCUAGAGUCUCGAGGGCCGCAUAAAUAGUUGUGAUGGGCCGGAUUCGGCCCGUGGGCCUCGAGUUUGACCCCUGUGUUUUAGGAAACGUCAGGCUUGAUCAGGAUUCGGUUCUGGACCUUUCUAUGAGGCUGUAGAGCAACUCCCUCCCGCUGCAGUACUCAGAGAUGAGCACCAGCACCGCCUGCUUGGUGUCCGCCUCGUAGGGAACGAUCUUCGCCAUGAAGAGGUUUCCUGUGGCGUUCUCACGACACUCGCGGAUCACACCGAACCGGCCUCUGAGGGGGAAGGAAACAUCAGCACGUGUUCACACUGGGGAGGUGUAAGGUUUCUGCGGAACGCCCUGGCGUAAAGAUCCCUCCCCAGCCUUGCCCAGCGGCGUCCUGCGUCCAGACGGUGUGAGGCGUCC